GGCGUGCCUUUUGUAGAAUGAACCGGCGAGUUACGAUUUGAUGCAAGGUUAAGCAGUAAAUGUGGAGCCGUAGCGAAAGCGAGUCUGAAUAGGGCGUUUAGUAUUUGGUCGUAGACCCGAAACCAGGUGAUCUACCCUUGGUCAGGUUGAAGUUCAGGUAACACUGAAUGGAGGACCGAACCGACUUACGUUGAAAAGUGAGCGGAUGAACUGAGGGUAGCGGAGAAAUUCCAAUCGAACCUGGAGAUAGCUGGUUCUCUCCGAAAUAGCUUUAGGGCUAGCCUCAAGUGAUGAUUAUUGGAGGUAGAGCACUGUUUGGACGAGGGGCCCCUCUCGGGUUACCGAAUUCAGACAAACUCCGAAUGCCAAUUAAUUUAACUUGGGAGUCAGAACAUGGGUGAUAAGGUCCGUGUUCGAAAGGGAAACAGCCCAGACCACCAGCUAAGGUCCCAAAAUAUAUGUUAAGUGGAAAAGGAUGUGGCGUUGCCCAGACAACUAGGAUGUUGGCUUAGAAGCAGCCAUCAUUUAAAGAGUGCGUAAUAGCUCACUAGUCGAGUGACACUGCGCCGAAAAUGUACCGGGGCUAAACAUAUUACCGAAGCUGUGGAUUGUCCUUUGGACAAUGGUAGGAGAGCGUUCUAAGGGCGUUGAAGCAUGAUCGUAAGGACAUGUGGAGCGCUUAGAAGUGAGAAUGCCGGUGUGAGUAGCGAAAGACGGGUGAGAAUCCCGUCCACCGAUUGACUAAGGUUUCCAGAGGAAGGCUCGUCCGCUCUGGGUUAGUCGGGUCCUAAGCUGAGGCCGACAGGCGUAGGCGAUGGAUAACAGGUUGAUAUUCCUGUACCACCUAUAAUCGUUUUAAUCGAUGGGGGGACGCAGUAGGAUAGGCGAAGCGUGCGAUUGGAUUGCACGUCUAAGCAGUAAGGCUGAGUAUUAGGCAAAUCCGGUACUCGUUAAGGCUGAGCUGUGAUGGGGAGAAGACAUUGAGUCUUCGAGUCGUUGAUUUCACACUGCCGAGAAAAGCCUCUAGAUAGAAAAUAGGUGCCCGUACCGCAAACCGACACAGGUAGUCAAGAUGAGAAUUCUAAGGUGAGCGAGCGAACUCUCGUUAAGGAACUCGGCAAAAUGACCCCGUAACUUCGGGAGAAGGGGUGCUCUUUAGGGUUAACGCCCAGAAGAGCCGCAGUGAAUAGGCCCAAGCGACUGUUUAUCAAAAACACAGGUCUCUGCUAAACCGUAAGGUGAUGUAUAGGGGCUGACGCCUGCCCGGUGCUGGAAGGUUAAGAGGAGUGGUUAGCUUCUGCGAAGCUACGAAUCGAAGCCCCAGUAAACGGCGGCCGUAACUAUAACGGUCCUAAGGUAGCGAAAUUCCUUGUCGGGUAAGUUCCGACCCGCACGAAAGGCGUAACGAUUUGGGCACUGUCUCAACGAGAGACUCGGUGAAAUCAUAGUACCUGUGAAGAUGCAGGUUACCCGCGACAGGACGGAAAGACCCCGUGGAGCUUUACUGUAGCCUGAUAUUGAAAUUCGGCACAGCUUGUACAGGAUAGGUAGGAGCCUUUGAAACGUGAGCGCUAGCUUACGUGGAGGCGCUGGUGGGAUACUACCCUAGCUGUGUUGGCUUUCUAACCCGCACCACUUAUCGUGGUGGGAGACAGUGUCA
rnacentral:rRNA from 1 species